rnacentral:snRNA from 1 species
GGUCACCGGAGUCUAUGGGGCUGCUUUGUCAGGAAGGUUGACAUCCCCUUCCUCCUUCCCUGCACCGUGUAGGAUCUUCCUGAAGCUGAAGGCUCAAUAUACAAGGAUGACCUUCCCAGAGAGAGGAAAACACUUGUCUUUGACAAAGAGGAUCAGUGUCGGAGAGAGGUAAAUGUUUAGUCUCACUGGUCUAACUCUUUCCCACACUACAUCCUCUCUUGGCAGCCAUGCCAAAUCACA